CCUACGGGAGGCAGCAGUGAGGAAUAUUGGUCAAUGGCCGUAAGGCUGAACCAGCCAAGUAGCGUGAGGGAAGACUGCCCUAUGGGUUGUAAACUUCUUUUAUGCGGGGAUACGGGUGUCCACGUGUGGAUGUUUGCAGGUACCGAAUGCAUAAGGACCGGCUAAUUCGGUGCCCGCAGCCGCGGUAUUACGGAAGGUCCGGGCGUUAUCCGGAUUUAUUGGGUUUAAAGGGAGCGUAGGCCGGUCUUUAAGCGUGCCGUGAAAUAUUGGGGCUCAACCAUGAGAGUGCGGCGCGAACUGGUGACCUGGAGUGCGCGGAAGGCAGGCGGAAUUCGUGGUGUAGCGGUGAAAUGCGUAGAUAUCACGAAGAACCCCGAUUGCGAAGGCAGCCUGCCGCAGCGUUACUGACGCUGAAGCUCGAAAGCGCGGGUAUCGAACAGGAUUAGAUACCCGUGUAGUC
rnacentral:rRNA from 1 species